rnacentral:rRNA from 1 species
CUACGGGCCGCACCAGUGAGGAAUAUUGCACAAUGGAGGAAACUCUGAUGCAGCAACGCCGCGUGGAGGAUGACGCAUUUCGGUGCGUAAACUCCUUUUAUAUGUCAAGAAAAUGACGGUAGCAUAUGAAUAAGCACCGGCUAACUCCGUGCCAGCAGCCGCGGUAAUACGGAGGGUGCAAGCGUUACUCGGAAUCACUGGGCGUAAAGGACGCGUAGGCGGGAUAUCAAGUCAGGUGUGAAAUCCUACAGCUUAACUGUAGAACUGCACUUGAAACUGGUAACCUAGAGUAUGGGAGGGGGAGAUGGAAUUAGUGGUGUAGGGGUAAAAUCCGUAGAUAUCACUAGGAAUACCUAAAGCGAAGGCGAUCUCCUGGAACAUAACUGACGCUAAGGCGUGAAAGCGUGGGGAGCAAACAGGAUUAGAUACCCCUGUAGUC